rnacentral:rRNA from 1 species
GUCCACGCCGUAAACGAUGAAUACUAGGUGUUGGGAAGCAUUGCUUCUCGGUGCCGUCGCAAACGCAGUAAGUAUUCCACCUGGGGAGUACGUUCGCAAGAAUGAAACUCAAAGGAAUUGACGGGGACCCACACAAGCGGUGGAGCAUGUGGUUUAAUUCGAAGCAACGCGAAGAACCUUACCAAGUCUUGACAUCCGCCUGACCGAUCCUUAACCGGAUCUUUCCUUCGGGACAGGCGAGACAGGUGGUGCAUGGUUGUCGU